rnacentral:lncRNA from 7 species
GUCGCGCGCGUUUCGCAUCAAUCAUCUGCAGGGCUGCAGACUAGCGACGAGGCCCGCCAGGGGUUCUGAUGCCAACGCCACCAGCUAGCUAGCGCCGAGGCCUGGAACGAUCGGUUCCGGACAGCGAGACGCUUGUGCUCGUUCAGGGUGGCCAGCAAGGGCCGGGCAGGUGGCGCUCUGGAAGGGGAGAAUGCAGGCAGGUCCGCCGCAAGUGGCUUGUUCUUCUUCUCCGCUGGAUGGAUCACGACGGCACGGGGUCGCUAAUCGGCAUCGUUUGCCAUGGGGAACUGAUAGGUGAUAAGGCUGGAGCAGCGUACACGCGUGACGCGUGCGUGCGGCCGGCCGCAUGCGUCCGUCGACCGGCUGCCAUACGAAUGCUUGGUGCCAACUUCUCUUCGAAUUGAGUUCUCUUACCUUUCGGAUAAGUCUCGGCCCAUUUUUUUUCGUGUGCAAUUGAGUUCUUGUUUAAUUUGGCACAUGGCCAUGUUUAUUAGUAUGUCUUGCCAUGCAUGUGAAUAUAAGCA